CAUGUCUUAGACUGCUUCAGAAGGUAGGUCUGUAUACUACCAAAAUAACAUCCCAUGUAUUUUCUCAUGUCUUAGACUGCUUCAGAAGGUAGGUCUGUAUGCUACCAAAAUAACAUCCCAUGUAUUUUCUCAUGUCUUAGACUGCUUCAGAAGGUAGGUCUGUAUGCUACCAAAAUAACAUCCCAUGUAUUUUCUCAUGUCUUAGACUGCUUCAGAAGGUAGGUCUGUAUGCUACCAAAAUAACAUCCCAUGUAUUUUCUCAUGUCUUAGACUGCUUCAGAAGGUAGGUCUGUAUACUACCAAAAUAACAUCCCAUGUAUUUUCUCAUGUCUUAGACUGCUUCAGAAGGUAGGUCUGUAUACUACCA